GGAGGCUUAAAAACCCAUUACUAUUUUGCUUCUUUGAAUAUUUUUAAGUUCUUUUUUGACGAUUUAAGCAUUUGUUUUUUUUUUUUCCUGCGGAUUUUAAGCACACAUAAAUUCGUUUCUUAUCGUUAUAAGAUAUAGCUGGGCUCCCUGUUUUCUUUCCGACUCCGCUCUCCGAUUGCAGUUUCCCCUUAGUUGGUCCAAAGACUUUCCGCGGCCUUUUUUUUUCCCCGACUAAUACCGAAAUUGUUUUUUCGUCCGUUUUCCUAUAUGCGUUCAAGUUUCGGACCCGCGUACAGAAAUAGUGCCGGUUGCACAAUAUUGUUCCCGUUCCGGACGGGAAAAUUGAACAGUUACCGACGACGGGGC